UUUGGUGAUGAUGGCAGAGAGGUCACACCCGUUCCCAUACCGAACACGGAAGUUAAGCUCUCUAGCGCCGAUGGUAGUUGGGACCUU
rnacentral:rRNA from 4 species